UACGUAGGGUGCAAGCGUUGUCCGGAAUUAUUGGGCGUAAAGAGCUCGUAGGCGGUCUGUCGCGUCGGCUGUGAAAACCCGGGGCUCAACCCCGGGCCUGCAGCCGAUACGGGCAGGCUAGAGUUCGGUAGGGGAGACUGGAAUUCCUGGUGUAGCGGUGAAAUGCGCAGAUAUCAGGAGGAACACCGAUGGCGAAGGCAGGUCUCUGGGCCGAUACUGACGCUGAGGAGCGAAAGCGUGGGGAGCGAACAGG
rnacentral:rRNA from 1 species